rnacentral:sRNA from 1 species
UUGAGAUAUCCUAAGAGGCUUUGCGCCUGC